rnacentral:pre_miRNA from 1 species
AAAAACUAUAGUUUUACACCGUUUAUAUCUAACGUUUGACCGUUUGUUUUAUUUGAAAAUUUUUUAUGGUUAGCAUUUUUAUUGUUAUUAGGUAAUAAAACAUAAAUAAUAUUUUAUGUGUAACUAUUUUUGUAAAAAAAUAUAUUUUUUAAAUAAGAUGGACAAUUAAAUAUUGGAUACGGAAACUUAUAUCAGUAUUUAAA